CGCGUAGGUGGUAGUGAAAGUCUAUGGUGGAAUCUUAGGGCUUAAACCCCUAAAACUGCCUUGGAAACUUCAUUACUUGAGUCAGUGAGGGGAGGGUAGAAUUCCUGGUGUAGCGGUGAAAUGCGUAGAUAUCAGGAGGAAGGCCGGUGGCGAAGGCGGCCCUCUGGCGCUGAACUGACGCUGAGGCGCGAAAGCGUGGGUAGCAAACAGGAUUAGAUACCCUGGUAGUCCACGCCCUAAACGGUGGGUACUAGGUGUAGGGCUCGUAAGGGUUCUGUGCCGAAGGGAAACCAUUAAGUACCCCGCCUGGGGAGUACGGCCGCAAAGUUGAA
rnacentral:rRNA from 1 species